CCACGAGAACUCUGUGAGAUAAUCAAUAGUUAUUGUUAUAGGAAGCCGCUGCACUUUGGCCCAAGGAAAGCAGAGGCUGGAGGCUGAGGUUGGAGUCCCAGGAGCCCUGUGCCCCCACUCCAGGGCUCUUGGCCGCCAGAGCCUCGAGACUGGAGCCCUGUAAGCUUCAAAAGCAGAAACCCCCGGCUGAACUAAAAGGAAGGAAAAUCUUUAAAUGCCUCAAAGGUGGAGAGGAUAAAAUCACUUUUAGUCUUGUUCAAAGUCUUGUUCACUCCACGCAGCCAUCCAAGGGUACCAGGGCAUCUUUGCUGUGGCCAUUACAACCGAGAGGCUCAGAGAAGGGUGGUGUCUCCCUACAGAAAUGUCUUCCCAGCACUUCUUAGGGAAUGCUUACAUUUUAAUGAGUCCCGAGAAAACUUAAUCAAGAAGGUGGGAAAACUGGAACAAGUAUUAUAAUUCUCCUGCAACGACUAAAGCUUAACGAUCUGUGUAGAGACGGAAAAAAGUAAAAAGAAGAAAAAAAAAAUCUACGUAGGAGUGUCGCUUGUUCCAGGCACACAUUGGCGUCAGGCAAGAGCCGCCUUGGGGAGCGGAAGGUGAAGGCGACGCUUCCGGGAACCGGGGCCGGAACUUCCGCAGGGCGGUCAUCACGGCCCGUGUCAGCAGCGGACUGUGGGUGUGCGCGUGCUUAGGGCUUGUCUGCGCCAAGCGCCAGUCACUCCUGCAAAUAAAAUAAAUAUUGAUAGG
rnacentral:lncRNA from 1 species